CUGAGUGCGGCCGUCUGGCAGACAGGUAUGAGCAGGACUGGGAGGGAUGUGAGGUGGGGAGGCGGCUUUGCCAGCCUGGAGGUGUUGAUACCUGGCUUCUCCUCUGAAUUGAGUAUCACCUGGGGCUUCCCUAAACCACUAGCCCUUCCUGGAGACCCGGAAGCAGUGACACACACAGUAAGCUCUUGAAAAAGAUCAAAUGCUGUCCUCCUGGCAUUUCCAGGCUGAAAAGAGGCCCAAAAACUGAGUGUCCACUAUGACAUCAGCAGCUCACACUGGAACAGUCCUUUCAGACCAUUUCAUAAGUGAAGCCCAAGCCAGAAACACCUGCCAACAUCUGUUCCCCUGCUUCUGUGCACCUUCUGCGCCUGCCCAGCAAGCUUGUGUUGGUUGAAUGAAUUCACGGGACGGAAUGAGGUCAUCACAGUGAAUGGGGGAAGUGAUCAGGUUACACACCCACACUUACAAUGAUCAAGUUAGCCCUCAACUGCAGGCAGGAGCAAGGCUUGGACCAGGAGGCACUCAGCCUCAGGAAGAUGUUUUAUCGGCCCAUUAUGUGCACCAGUGCUUAAAACAGACCUUCGGGUCCAAGCCUGCUUUGUACUCAGCAGCUGAAGAUCCCCUCUGGGAAUAAUAUGUGGCUAUAUGCAGCUAUGCAAAGCAGCCCCAGUGACAUUGCUUUUGUAGCCAGGACUUGGGUACUCAACCUCUACAACUCUUUCAAAGUUGACCCAACAGUUCAAGGCCUGUGGAGGAAACCUGGAUUUGCCUGUGCUUUGCAUUUCCUCUGCAAAGUUUCUCUCUUUUGAACUCAAAGAAGUUCCCGCUUUCCCUCAGUGCCGCUUUAUGGCAAUAAAAUGACUUCUGAAAAUCAACCAGAAGCUUCUAGCAAACUAUCCAGAUUUUGAAAUCUGGCCGUUUCUAUUGCAUGGGCUUCCAUUGUGUGACACAUGCAAGACAGUUUCUAAAAUUUUAUUUUGAUGCCACAC
rnacentral:lncRNA from 1 species